UACGGAGGGUGCGAGCGUUGUCCGGAAUCACUGGGCGUAAAGGGCGCGUAGGCGGAUAUUUAAGUCAGGGGUGAAAUCCCGGGGCUCAACCCCGGAACUGCCUUUGAUACUGGGUAUCUCGAGUCCGAGAGAGGUGAGUGGAAUUCCGAGUGUAGAGGUGAAAUUCGUAGAUAUUCGGAGGAACACCAGUGGCGAAGGCGGCUCACUGGCUCGGUACUGACGCUGAGGUGCGAAAGCGUGGGGAGCAAACAGG
rnacentral:rRNA from 1 species